GACGAACGCUGGCGGCGUGCCUAACACAUGCAAGUCGAGCGAGUGAAUCUCCUUCGGGAGUGAAGCUAGCGGCGGACGGGUGAGUAACACGUGGGCAACCUGCCUCAUAGAGGGGAAUAGCCUUUCGAAAGGAAGAUUAAUACCGCAUAAGAUUGUAGCUUCGCAUGAAGUAGCAAUUAAAGGAGCAAUCCGCUAUGAGAUGGGCCCGCGGCGCAUUGGCUAGUUGGUGAGGUAACGGCUCACCAAGGCGACGAUGCGUAGCCGACCUGAGAGGGUGAUCGGCCACAUUGGGACUGAGACACGGCCCAGACUCCUACGGGAGGCAGCAGUGGUGAAUAUUGCACAAUGGGGGAAACCCUGAUGCAGCAACGCCGCGUGAGUGAUGACGGCCUUCGGGUUGUAAAGCUCUGUCUUCAGGGACGAUAAUGACGGUACCUGAGGAGGAAGCCACGGCUAACUACGUGCCAGCAGCCGCAGUAA
rnacentral:rRNA from 1 species